rfam:Gossypium raimondii Chr09_contig_1028, whole genome shotgun sequence.
UAGUAAGGAUUGACAGACUGAGAGCUCUUCCUUGAUUCUAUGGGUGGUGGUGCAUGGCCGUUCUUAGUUGGUGGAGCGAUUUGUCUGGUUAAUUCUGUUAACGAACGAGACCUUAGCCUGCUAACUAGCUACACGGAGGUGAGCCUACGGAAGGAUCAUUGUCGAAACCUGCCUAGCAGAAUGACCCGUAAACGCGUUGCAAACAACACCGGAGGUGGUGCGGGUGCAUCCUCGCCUCUCGCCACCCCCGUGUCUCGGAGCAGUCGAUCUCGUCGUCCCU